AUACUUGUGUUGGCAGUGCAGAUACAAAAGUUGGAAUGAUACGUGCCCCUGUGUAAGAAUGACAUGCAAAUUUGUGAAACAUUACAUGAUUUU
ensembl:snRNA U6 U6 spliceosomal RNA